GAUUUGCACUUGGAAAUGAAGGAGAGGCAACGUUGGAGAGCUGAAGAGGAUGCUUUAUUACGUUCUUAUGUCAAACAGUAUGGUCCUAGGGAAUGGAAUCUCGUGUCUCAGCGCAUGAACACAACUCUGAACAGGGAUGCAAAGUCAUGCUUAGAAAGGUGGAAGAACUACCUGAAGCCUGGCAUCAAGAAGGGGUCUCUAACGGAGGAAGAGCAGCGCCUUGUAAUCCGGCUUCAAGCGAAACACGGCAACAAGUGGAAGAAAAUUGCUGCAGAAGUUCCAGGUAGAACUGCCAAGAGGUUAGGGAAGUGGUGGGAAGUGUUUAAGGAGAAGCAACAAAGAGAGAAUAAGGAGCUCAAUAGAAUCCCUGACCCUAUUAACAACAGCAAGUACGAGCACAUUCUUGAGAGUUUUGCUGAAAAACUAGUAAAGGAACAACAUCCUUCACCAUCAUUUGUUAUGGCUGCUUCUAAUGGGACAUUUCUGCGUACUGACACACCAGCACCUGCAUCAGCCUUGCUUCCUUCUUGGCUUUCCAAUUCUAGUAGUGCUGCUGCUGCUGCUGGCCCAAGUUCCCUUUCUGUGACACUAAGUCUUUCUUCCUCAACAGUUGCUGCACCUCCAUUCUCAUGGUUGCAACCUGAUAGGGGACCAGACAAUGUUCCUUUUGUUUUGGGGAAUAUACCAGCUUUCAGUGAAAACAUGCUGAUAUCUCAGAUGGUGGAGCACUGCAAAGAGUUGGAAGAGGGACAACGAGCUUUGGGUGCUCACAAGAAGGAGGCAGGGUGGCGGUUAAGCCGGGUGGAGUUGCAGUUGGAGUCAGAGAAGGCAAGCCGAAGAAGGGAGAAAAUGGAAGAGUUUGAAGCAAAGAUGAAGGCUCUUCAGGAAGAGGAGAGAGCUGCGUUGUGCAGAAUCGAAGCAGAAUACAGAGAAGAGUUAGCUGCAUUGAAGAGAGAUGCUGAAAACAAGGAACAAAAGUUAGCAGAACAAUGGACUGCAAAGCAUUUGCAGCUUACUAGGUUGCUAGAGCAGAUUGGAUGCAGAGGAGGGCUGCUUGAGCCAAAUGCAAGAUGAAGAUAUCUUUUGGAACAAGGUUCUCUUGUGACUUCAAUUAUAUGCAGUUCACAAGAUUAAGAUAGCUUUUGAAAAAAGGUUCUCUUGUGACUUCAAUUAUAUGCAGUUCACAAGAUGAAGAUAGUUUUGUGGUAAAAUGGAUAUAGGUGUUCUUAUGACUUCAAUUGUUUGCAUUUUGUGCUUGUUGUGAUCUUGGUAUAUUUGUGUUGUAGAUGUGUGCUAUCAGUUUGUACCACUUGAGUAAUUUCUGUGAGCACUUCAAUUAUAGUAUCAUCACUUCCAAGUAUGUGAACUUAGUUUUUUUCCUCACCAUACUUGCCUCCAAAUUCUUUUCUUGGAGUGGCAUUUGCUGAAUGAUUCUAUGUAAAUGUAUCUAAUCUUUAGACAUGUUUGAAGCUUUCCUAGAAACACUUCUAGAAAGAGAAGAAAAUAAAAUAAAAAUGAAAUGAGUUAUUCCAUUAGAUAAAAUUAGUUUACCAAGUUCUUUUUUUAAAGUCUGGUAAGUUUUUCUUUUUCUUUUAUUGUUUUAGAAAUGCUAUUGGGGAAGUUUGACUUGAAUAAGUAGAGACUAAACACUACCAUUGGGUUGAAUUAGUGUAAAACAUUUUCAAAAACAAGUUUCCUCCCAUAUAUAUUAAAAAUUAUUAUUUAUAUCAAAUUGUUUUAAGAAUUUUAUUUGUUUACAAAAAAUUAUUAUAUUACAUAAGUUAAAUCAACUACAAUCUUUAUAUUCUUUUCAUUUGUUUUAUUUUAAAAACAACUUCAAUAUAAACAAUUACACUUUUCACUCUUUCUCUUUUUUUUUUCAUUUUGUUCCCUCUCUCUGAUUCAAACACGUACAAGACACACAUGCAUAGAUAUAUCACUUAUGCAUUAUUUGUUUCUGGUUUCUGGGAGUGAUUUUUUUGCAAAGAAAAGCAAAGAAAGUGAGAAAAUCAAGAAAUAAAAUAUUAUUAAAAUUUAGAAAUUGAGUUCAUGUUUUUUUCUUUUGCAAAUAUGCAAAGAAUUGUAAGGAAAUACAAUUAAAUAUAUUUUAUAAUUAUUAAAAAUUUACAUAAUAUCAUUAAAAAAUUAAAAUUAUCCUUAAUUUUAUUUGUAUCAAUUUAAUAAUAUUAUUAAUAAAAAUAAAUAUAAUUAUUUAUAUAAUAAUAUUAAUUAUAAAAAUAUAUAAAUUAAUUAAUUAAAUUAUUAUUAUUCAAAUAUUUUUAAAAUCAAUAAUAAAUUUGUAAAUUUAUAUUUUAUAUUUUUUUUAAAAUUAAAAAUUUCUACACAAUCAUCUCAUCACUCAAACUUAAAUAAAACUUUCUAUAGAAAUCUAGUCUAAUAUAUCCCAAUCCAAACAAUCUUACUUUUCUCUAAAAAUCAUUCCAAAUUCAAUUUUUCAAAUCUCCUCAUUAAUCCAAAAACAUCAUUAAUAAAAUUUAAGUUUAACGUCCUAGUAUAUGUAUUUAUAUUUUAUGAUAACUUAAAAUUCUAAUAAUGAUUAAAAAAUAAUAUAUAUGAAAUUGCAUCCAAGUUUAUAAAAUAGAAAAAAGAACGCCUUUAUUUGUACAAAAUUAGACACACUCUUCCAAUUCGAUAAUUAAAAAUAUUAAAGGAUGAAAACACAGUUCAUAUAAUUUCCUUUUAUUGAUUCAAAUAAAAAUAUUUUUUCCUUAAAUUAUGUCCAUUAAAAUUUAAUAUAAAAAUGAAAAAUUUAGUGAAAAUAAAUUUUAAUUAAUUAAAAUAUAUUCUAUGAUUUAUAUUUCCGUAUUAUCAGUAUAAAUAUAAAUAUUCAUUACAUUAUAGUUUUGUUUGGCAACUAUUUCUUCGAAAACUUGAUGUAAGAAGAUUGAAUCUACUAUCAUUCCAAUACUUUGUUGGCUAGAUAGUGUUAAAGAUGAUAAAAUAUUUUAAAAAAAUGUUAAUUUGAUAAUUAAUAAAUACACCAAUUUAUAAUUUUUUUAAAUUUUCUUUAUUUUCUUAUAUAAUUUAUAUUUCAGUAAAAGAUUUUAGCAGUUAUAUUAUGAAGUAAUCUAAUUUUUUUUUGUCAAUGUAUCAAAAUUCUAUUAAAUAAGAAACACUAAUUUACAGUUUCUUAAAAUUUCUUCAUUUUUUCCCAUAACUCACAUUUCAAUAAAAUAUUGUUUUUUCUUAUCCUUGUAACAGUAUUAAUAGGAAAUAAUUCAAUAUUUGUAAAUAUAUGAUUUUUUUAAAAUGAAAAAAAGUUUUUUUAAUACCAUCUACACUAGAAAAACAUAUAUUUAACAAAUAAUAAUCUAAUAAUAUUUUGAAUUAAAAAAUAAAAUAAAAUAUUAAUUUAUUGAAGUGUGAGAUGUAUAUUUUACUGUUCAUAGUCUUAACAUAUCAUCAUCCACAAAAUAUCUCAGAAUGUAUUAAAUAAGAUGAAAGUAGUUAAAGUUUAAUUAAUUUUUUGAUUGAAUAGUGUAUUUAAAUUUAAAUUUAAAUAAAGAGAAGGUAUAUUCUUAGAGGAUUUGCAGAGUGAAUAAUUUAGAAAGGAGUGAAGGAGGGAGUGUGGCAUUUUGAAGCACUGAAACCAAAGUACCACACUGCUCUAUUAAUGCCUUUUUCCUCUCUUUUUUUUCUCUCUUGUGACCCUGUGCCCUGUCUUGUCCAAUUCCAUCUCUUUACCUACACCCCCACCCCACCAAAUAUUUUCUCUCUCUUCCAUCAACAAUGAACCAAGCUCCUAGGUAGUUAGGGACCAACUUCAACCCUUCUUCUUCUUCUUGCAUUUUUCACCAUUUCACUCACCAACCAACCAACCAAGGAUGACUUUGUCUUUGGGUUCAGGGCUUUAGGAUGGUGGGGUUUGAAAAACUGUUCUUUUCUUUGUUUUUCUAUCUCUCUGUGCCUCCCCACUUUUGGUGAAGUUUCAAGUUUUGUUCUUUCUGAUUUUCUCUUUUGAUGCUGUUUAAGGGCUCUAGAUUGUGGAAGUUUUGGUGUUGUUUUGCUCCCAUUGUUUGUUUCGGCUUAGUUAUCUUUGCUUUGGUUUUGAGUCAAGUUUUGUUUGUAGAAUGAUUCUUAAAUCCUAUGCCUUUUUAAGUAUGGGAUUUUUUUUUAUAUUUUUAAAAUGCUUACUUUUUAUUGAAUAUUUAUUUUAUAAACCAGUACCAAUAUUUGUGGAACAUUGUUGUGUUUUCUUUUAUUCCAGUAGUUUCCACUAUGCAUUUAUGCUUUGUUUUUGAGUUUGUAUAGCUGAUUCCAUGAUGACUUGAAUAACUUACCUAAUGUCUUGGGAGUCUUGUAACCAAUCCUGAAAUUAGUGUGAUUCAAUGGAAAAAAUUAAGGAGUGUGUAUCUGUCUCAUCGAAACCAAUGCUUCAGAUUCCAUUAUUCUAUUUUGGAAUAAAAGAUAAGGAGGAUAAUGUUGUUUUAUUGAGUGAUGUGAUUGUUUUUGGCUACUGCCCUUAUAUAAUAAUUAAUAAUUCUGAAAACUGUAUAUUAAAGGACCUGAAGAAUUAUUCAGUUUUAGAAAGGUUUGUUGCAGCCAUUUUUAAUUCAGUAGUAUGCCAGUUAAAAAAUUUCUCUGGAAGAUCUUGGCAAAAAUAGCCAUUAUUUUAAUCUGCUUUCAACUUUUAUACUCAAUCAUCACGUGUCUCUGGAAGAUCUUGACUAAAUAGUCAUUCUCUAUGUUUCUUUGGUUGGUAGUUUAUGUAUGCUGCACAUGCAUUCUGCAUAUUGACAGUGUGCUAAGUGUUCUAUUCUUAGUGCGAAUUCUGUUUUCUGCAUUAGGCUAGGCAUGACAUUGUCAUGAAUUGAUUUGAAGAUGAUCUUGCUUCAAUGUUGAGCACGGUAUGAAUUAUUAUGAACACUUUGGAAUUUUAGCAGAAAGUUCAUUUGUGUUUCUAUUGUUGGUCAUCAAAUUAACUUUCUAUCACUCUUCUUUUAGUAAACUGUUAAUUUCGGACAAACACUAGAGUCAAGAAGCAAGUAAAUGAAAUUCAAAUCCAUUGUAAUUUCUGUCACUGUUGACCCAACAGUUACACUGUAUUGCCAUGAAAAUUAUUUGAAGCAAUUACCUUCUUUCAAGAACUUUGGUUUUUAUGAAAUUAUAUAUAGUUUGAGCUUUGUUUAGUAGUGUUGCACCUUAAUUUUGUGAUUAGUUGAAAUGAUAUGUUAUUGUUGUGUUAAUAGGUCUUUAAUUGUUUGAUCUUGCAAUCAUUGUUGUCAUGAAUUAUGCAGAUACAAUAAUGAAGAGUUCAAGAUUGAAGAAAUGGGCUGUGGGAUUUGCAGUUGGAAAUGAAGGAAAGGCAACGUUGGAAGGCUGAAGAGGAUGCAUUGUUAUGUGCUUAUGUUAGAGAGUAUGGUCCUAGGGAAUGGAACCUUGUGUCUCAGCGCAUGAACACAACUCUGAACAGGGAUGCAAAGUCAUGCUUAGAAAGGUGGAAGAACUACCUGAAGCCUGGCAUCAAGAAGGGGUCUCUAACGGAGGAAGAGCAGCACCAUGUGAUCCGGCUUCAAGCGAAACACGGCAACAAGUGGAAGAAAAUUGCUGCAGAAGUUCCUGGUAGAACUGCCAAGAGGUUAGGGAAGUGGUGGGAAGU
rnacentral:lncRNA from 1 species